UUUUGUGUGCCACACAACAGCAGAUAUUUAGCAAUUUCGUUUGUCAAAUUUGCGACACCUUUUGUAUCUGGUGCUGAAUUGUUGCUAACUAUCUGCAAGUGUAAAAUUUGUGAAAUUAAAUUAUUUUAACGUGAUUUAGGUAUGUACUAUGGACAGAGCUCAAAUAAUAAAUGGGGCUUUGGAGUCUAAGGAAAUUAGGUCGGAUACAUACGAAUUAGUGCGUAUGCGUGUCUGUCUUCGUGAUCAAGCCUGACCCCUUAAUCUAUCGGAAAGUUUGUUCAGAACACAUUACAGAAUUUCGAAACAUCAAUAUUUACAAUUGUGCUCUGAAUUAAAGCCGUUAAUAACCUAGAUCAUCAAGACGAACAAGAAUAGAAAGUAAAAUGCAAGGUGUUAACAGCAUUGCAAAAUUUCAUACCAGAAACCUGUGGGAAUGAGCUUUUUGCAUUUUGAGUUAAACUGUAGCAAAUCCAAUGCCAUUAGGGAAGUGGCUAUGGCAUUAAACAAUCUUCCAGUUUUAUUGAAACAUUUAAAGUUUCUGCAAACAGUACAAUGGGUCACAAGUUAUUAUAAAUGGGCAAGUAAAACAUCAUGAGCUCUGUCUCAGUAACCUGACUACAAAGUAAUACUCAAUCUAAAAGUAUAUUUAAAACUGGGAAGGCCGUUAAUAUAUAGUACUAUAGUAAUGUUUAUUGUCAUACCAGGAACACUGUUGACCAUUGUGAGUAUUGAAGGCCAGUUGGAGAUGCUUGUUGGUACAUACAGUACUGCAUUAUGAUCAUCAUAUGAUGGCCAAGACCAUAAUUGUUAGCUUGUAUUGCAUAACAUGGCAAACACACAUGGGUUUCCAGUGCCCCAACUCUCUGACGAAGAUGCUGAAAUUGAUGUUUCUUAUCAAAUUCAUAACAUUGUAUUUUUUGGGAGAGAAGAGUAAACACAGCACUUAGCACCAUGUCAACAUUCAAGGGUGGUUCAAUUGGAUUGUGGAGAACAGACAUUAAAUUUAGUCCAACCUCUGUAUUCUAGUAAUUUUAUGUAGAUAUUUUUAAAACUGCUGUUCUUAAUUAUGUGAACUGAGAGGGCAAGAAUAGCCUAAUUAUUUCUGCCUAUAAUUUUUUAUUUGUGUUUAGUGGAAAUAUACAUAUUUCCUUAACAUUUUUGUGUUUAUAGUAAAGGAUGGAUUCAUAACAAUUUGAAAGCAAAAUUGUGAGGUUGUUUUAUUAAGACGAUGUUUUAAAUCUGUCAUGCUCAAUUUGUUCUGUAUCAUUUUAUCUUUAUGUUAACCCCGUUUGUAUGUUGUGUUGUUAUAUAUAUUAUUGUAUAUACUGCUGUUUUAAAUAAUAGAAUAGAAUGAAUAACAAAUCGACUAGUAAUUCAUAAUUCUUCUAGAUUUUGUUGGAUACUUACAUGAAUAUUACUUACAAAAUGAAAAACAUAAUUCAUAAUUUAGACAAAAUGUGGAUCAACCACCACUCAUUUUUGUUCAUUGUGAUAAUAAUAAUAAUAAUAAUAUAAAUAUAAAUAUUUAACUGGUCCCGUGAUAAGUUCGUAAAGAACUUGUGUUACAGGUACAAGAUAACGGAAAUAAAUGUAGGAUUUUUAUUAUACACAUACAUAUAUUUAAUAUACAUCCAUAACCCUGGAAAAGACAUUUAUAUUUAUCAUACAAAUAUCUUCCCUUGGCGGGAUUCGAACCCGCGACCCCCUUGUGUAGCGACCAUGUCACUUACCACUACACCAGACGGCCGUUAGAUAAGUUUGAUAAUUAUUAUUUUUGUGUAAUUUUGUUUUAUUUGAAUAAUAAUUCUUAAAUUAGGAAA